rnacentral:rRNA from 1 species
GACAGAGGGUGCAAACGUUGUUUCGGAAUUACUGGGCGUAAAGCGUGUGUAGGCGGUCCGCUAAGUCGGGUGUGAAAGCCCUGGGCUCAACCCAGGAAGUGCACUCGAAACUGGCGGGCUAGAGUAUCGGAGAGGUUGGUGGAAUUCUCGGUGUAGAGGUGAAAUUCGUAGAUAUCUGGAGGAACACCGGUGGCGAAGGCGGCAUCCUGGACCGGCAUUGACGCUGAGGCGCGAAAGCUAGGGGAGCAAACGGG